rnacentral:rRNA from 1 species
GGAGGGUGCAAACGUUGUUCGGAAUUACUGGGCAUAAAGAGCUCGUAGGCGGCUGUGUAAGUGUGAAGUGAAAUCCCACGGCUCACCCGUGGAACUGCUUUGCAGACUGCACGGCUAGAGGAUGGUAGGGGAGAGCGGAACUCCUGGUGGAGCGGUGAAAUGCGUAGAUAUCAGGAGGAACACCGGUGGCGAAGGCGGCUCUCUGGUCCACCCCUGACGCUGAGGAGCGAAAGCCAGGGGGUAGCGAACGGGAUUAGAUACCCCGGUAGUCCUGGCCGUAAACGAUGGGCACUAGCUAGGGGUCUCCCCUGUGGGAUCCCUGGUGAAGCAAAUGUGAUAAGUGCCCCCGCCUGGGAGUAUGGUCGCAAGGCUG